AAGAGCUGUGGCUUGUGGGCUCCCGAUUCCACCCUCAAACCUGUUAGUCAAGUUGCUAAACCCGAGAAAUGCUUGGUGCGACUAGAGGGCUCACCCAGCUGGAGAAAAGCAGCUCCCGCAGACCCCCCGGGCACUUAAACGGCAGAGAGCCUGAGAGGGGAGCCCCUCGGAGGUGGAGAGAGUGGUAGAAGGACCAGAAGGUCCGUCCCUCUGACGUCGGGUCACCGCUUGGGGGUAGGCGGAGGCCUGCUUGUCUCUAAAGGCAUCCACCUGCAUCGAUUCAAAUCCUGUAUCAACUACCUACUAGCUGUGUGACCUCGGACAGAUGACUUAACCUCUCUGAUCCUCAGAUCCCGCACCUCUAAAAAGAGAAUGUUAACACCUGCAUCCAAGGGGUCCUGGAGAGUUCAGGAAGACACUGCAGCAACGUACCCGUCGGGGCUACGGUCGAGAAGGAAAGGGGAACCGGAUGAAGUCACGAGGGCAGAUGUAGCUACACGGGCAAACGGCGGAGCCCCUGUGCACCCGAAAUCCCGGUUCCUCGUUCUCACACGCGCGUGUGCACCCGCCUGACUCCUCUAUCCUCCAGCCGACCUUUUAAAAACAGUUCAGGAGUUUGACGUGAUCUGAUUGCCAGAUUUAUUCUGCUAUCCCAGUGAUGGAUGAAAGCUGAAAUACUCAUCAACCGUAAAGUAUUUGUAUUACAAAAAUGAGUACUUGAAGCAACACCCUGAUUACCCUCCCCAAAGGGGCGCAGAUGGUAACAGCGUCAACUCCACGCGCCCGCAAACCCUAACCUCUACCAGGCUUCUAAUCUAAGCAGUGCCCACAGCCAACAACGUCAUCAAGAAUGGGUACCAAGCACAGGCUGUUCAACUUCCCCGGACAGAACCAGGGGAGAAGGAGCUCUCCCACGCCACCAGCCAAGGGGACAGAUGUGACCAGCUUCCUAAAUGUCUUUCCUAGGGGCAGAAGAGAAACUUCUGGGGCAAGGUGUGACAGGGCAAGAUCCUGAUAGGGGAGCAUGGGAACAGCUCCCUGCGACGACGUGUGACCUGGAGAGAUGGCCCUUAAUUUCUCGGGAGGGAUUUCUAAGACCAAAAGCCAAACAGCUGCUGACCAGUGGCUGCCCCAGGACGUCUGCCUGUUUUACUGAAUCCUGCUGAAUGCAGAAGGGUGUGUCCAGGCUGAGGAGGGUGCAUUUGAUGGCAGUCAAGGGCAGCCCGGUUUCUUACUUUAAAAGUGAAACAGAGAAGUCCACUUAUCUGAUGCACUUGGGAGAGUAGUUGACGAAGAAACACGCAUUUGUGAAGGAUUCAUAGACAGAGACGAUGCCACUGUAACUGAAAAGAUGUAAUUUGUUGGCUGGUCUUUGAUCCCAGAACCAAGUUCUGUUCUUCGAGCGAGAUCUCCUUAUGAGCAAACCCAGGAUGAAUUCAGCUGGGACCCAGUAUAAUUGAUGUUUCUCUACUUUUUCUUUCCUUUUCUUAAAAGUUUUUUUUAACGUUUACUUAUUUUGAGAGAGAGAGAGAGGGGGAGAGAGACAGGGUGCGAGUGGGGGAGGGGCAGAGGGAGAGGGAGACACAGAAUCCGAAGCAGUUUCCAGGCUCCGAGCUGUCAGCACAGAGCCCGACACGGGGCUCGAACCCACAAACCCAAAGAUCAUGACCUGAGCUAAAGUUGGUCACUCAACCGACAGAGCCCCCCAGGCGCCCCUCUCUACUUUUUCUUUUUAAGCAAUCAGGAAAUCAUUUCAUAAACUUUGGGACUAAAUUUUCUCAUUCAAAAGUGUGUGAUAGAGCUGCCUGUGUGGCUCAGUCAAUGGUUGGGUGUCUGACUCUUGAUUUUGGCUCAGGUCACGAUCUCACAGUUUGUGAGAUCAAGCCCCGCGUCAGGCUCUGCACUGACAGUGCGGAGCCUGCUUGGAAUUCUCUCUGUCCUUCUCUCUCUCUCCUCCUCUUUCUCUGCCUCUCCUCCACUUUCUCUCUCUCUCUCAAAAUAAAUAAAUAAACAUUAAAAAAAAUAAAAGUAUGUGAUGGCCAAAUUCCCAUUGCAUUAAAUAUUAUUUUCCAAUAUCCCAUGAAUGAUCGCCUGUGAGCCUACCACAUGGAAAUCUAGAAAUGAACUAACCAUUAUCUCUUUCAUUCUUUUCCUUUUGUUCCUUUUGCUAUCUAAAAAGCAUUGCUAUUAUUCAACACUCUUCUGAAAGUUCUAGCCAAUUUCGUAAGUAAGAUGUAACCACUGGAAAGAAGCCAAAAUUAUCAUUAGUCAUAGCUGUGAUGCAAUGGAAAAACUUAAUAAGGGUGACAGGAUUAUGGUACACAAAAGUCAAAAAUAAAAAAAAUA